rnacentral:rRNA from 1 species
CGAACGGGUGAGUAACACGUGGGCAACCUGCCCAAAAGAAGGGGGAGUAACACUUGGAAACAGGUGCUAAUACCGCAUAACCAUAGUUACCGCAUGGUAACUAUGUAAAAGGUGGCUAUGCUACCGCUUUUGGAUGGGCCCGCGACGCAUUAGCUAGUUGGUGGGGUAAAGGCUUACCAAGGCAAUGAUGCGUAGCCGAACUGAGAGGUUGAUCGGCCACAUUGGGACUGAGACACGGCCCAAACUCCUACGGAAGGCAGCAG